GACGAACGCUGGCGGCGUGCUUAACACAUGCAAGUCGAACGGAGAUUAUUAAUGAAGCUUGCGAUUUAAUAAUCUUAGUGGCGGACGGGUGAGUAACGCGUGGGCAACCUACCCAUAAGCGGGGGAUAACAGUUGGAAACGACUGCUAAUACCGCAUAAGCUAUUGAGGUCGCAUGACCUAAAUAGUAAAGGUGGCGAAAGCUAUCACUUAUGGAUGGGCCCGCGUCUGAUUAGCUAGUUGGUGGGAUAGCAGCCUACCAAGGCAACGAUCAGUAGCCGGCCUGAGAGGGUGGACGGCCACACUGGGACUGAGACACGGCCCAGACUCCUACGGGAGGCAGCAGUGGGGAAUAUUGCGCAAUGGGGGAAACCCUGACGCAGCGACGCCGCGUGAGCGAAGAAGGCCUUAGGGUCGUAAAGCUCUGUUGUAAGGGACGAAUGUUUAUCUGGCGAACAGUCAGAUAAAGUGACGGUACCUUACCAGCAAGCCCCGGCUAACU
rnacentral:rRNA from 1 species